AGUGAACGCUGGCGGUAUGCCUAACACAUGCAAGUCGAACGGCAGCACAGUAAGAUCUUGCUCUUACGGGUGGCGAGUGGCGGACGGGUGAGGAAUACAUCGGCAUCUACUUUUUCGUGGGUGAUAACGUAGGGAAACUUACGCUAAUACCUCAUACGACCUACGGGUUAAAUCAGUGGAUCUUCGGACCUUGCGCGAUUGAAUUAGCCGAUGUCGGAUUAGCUAGUUGGCGGGGUAAAGGCCCACCAAGGCGACGAUCCGUAGCUGGUCUGAGAGGAUGAUCAGACACACUGGAACUGAGACACGGUCCAGACUCCGACGGGAGGCAGAAGUGGGGAAUAUUGGGCAAUGGGCGAAAGCCUGAUCCAGCAAUACCGCGUGAGUGAAGAAGGCCUUCGGGUUGUAAAGCCCUUUUGUUGGGAAAGAAAAGCGGCAGGUUAAUACCCCGCUGUUCUGACGGUACCCAAAGAAUAAGCACCGGCUAACUUCGUG
rnacentral:rRNA from 1 species